ACGGGACUCUCCACGUGAGUGAGGGGCUCCAGGAUGUUGAAGGGAACAAAGCCCACCUGGUUGAAGCGGUUGCGACACUUCCACCAGCGCUUGGAUGACUCCAGCACCUGUUACACGCAAGCGGGAAAUGAGACCGACCGCCAGAUGAUGCCCAAGUUCCCAAUGGAUGCUUGAAAAGAGGCCUUACAUUUCAUCACCGAUGUGGAUGUUCUGCUGCUGCUGCUGCUCAUCAUUGCGCACCUCUUGUUUGAGCCGGAGGGCCUCGUGCUUGUGCUGCGACUCGACCGGAUCCUCCCAAACCCGCCCGUCCGCCCGGAACGCGUCGGGCUUCCAGCCGUCGAGGAAAACGGGCGUAUACGGAGCGAU